GUGCUUCUGGGAAAAAUGGACCCCACCCUUCCUCGUCGUCGUGGGCUGCAGCUCAGAUCUCCGGUUCUUUUUAUGGUCAAGCUUUUAGAUCUAGGCUCCCCCACCCACAGCUACCUGUAAUGGGAAACAAGACUCAUUAAGGCCGCGCCAGAUGUUAUAGGGAAGGCCGGUGACAAGGGCUGUAAAAGAAUUCACCAACAGGCAGGACCCAGGAAAGUCAGGAGUUUAUUUAGAUGGCUGGGUGUGCUGUGGACAGAGGCACGGCGGGCAAGUUCCAAGAGAGGAUUGCGCAGCCAGGGCGCGAGGAGAGGAGCCCCGCCUGACCGCAGCUGUCUGCAUUUUGACUGUUGUCUUCAUUUCUUCAUCCUCCACCGUCCUCCCUCCAGAAUUUCCAGGCUUCAGCCCUCAGCAGUGCGAUCUCUGGAAUGUAGGAUUAUUUAUGAAGAUUCGUGUUUUUGACACGAAGACCACCACAGGAACAGAGGCCAAACAAACUCUUGGACCCCUUGUGACUCAUUGAAAGCAGGAGUUGUGUUUUCUUCCGAAGCAAUCAAGGACUCAAAGCUUGGUUUUGCAACAAAACAAAACAACAACAAAGAAGGACGCUUCAUUUAGGCCGGUGGAUGUCCAAAAAGUAACUGAAAGCGGAACAAAGCUUGGCCUUCAUUUCGCACCUGCAGCACUUGGGUCAGACCCUUGUUCAUCUCUGAAUGCAGAUAAAACUAUGCUGUGGAUGGAGACUGAAGAAUCUUUGGAACAUAGCUAAAUGGGCUUCCCUGAGUAGUUCAGACUGAACUAGAAUGCACUGUGUACCCCAGGCUGGCCUCGAACUCAUGGUGAUCCUCAUACCUUACCUUCCGAGUGCUGCAAUUACAGUGUCCAAAGCCAUGGUAGUCACACGGAGAGUCCUCACGAGGCAGUGUUGUAUUCUAACUUUACCUACAUCGUUCUGUGCUCCAGUGAAACCACAUGAAGGAUAAAGGAUGAGCGCCAUGCCAGGACUAACAUCCAGAUGGGAGAUUUACAAGGGGAGCAACUACCAGUGGGUGCCUGGACAUCUCCAGGUAUUGCCCGAAACCUACAGUCACCUUGAUACUAGCAAAUCUUCUGCAAACUUGAGACGACCUCAAACAGAAACAGCUGUCUCAUAGAGUCUGGCUUGCCCCUGAAGGAAUAAAGGUUUCUCUGGAGCCACUCUGCAAAAACUAGAACUGAGUCUGGAAAUCAGCCUGGACCUCCCACCGAGGCGUCCUGAAAUGCAAGACAGUAGAUGUGGGACCUGUCUGGGUGGAGCUGGGGUCUUCAUCUCCUCUCCUCAAGUCCUGUCUGCCAGCCGUUCUGCUUUUGGUACAUGCGCUGCUGAGGCGAGCCUGGACCCACUUCCUGCUCUUUCCUUGAUGCCUCGUGGCCAGGUUUUCAGUGUCAUGCAAGCAGACAGUCUCCGGAGCAUCCUCAUAGAUCCAAACACUCACUGAAUGUUCAGGCAGUAAAAUUUAUUACGGUAAAAGGUGCAUUGCCAUGAGUGCCCGUCACUUUGCGCACGCUUAUCUCCUGAUUCCUGCCACUUUCUGAAGCAGCUCUGGAGUCCUGUCUGUUGUCUUGGCUGCCUGGUGUCCUGAAUCGAUUAAAGUCAUUUACCUUUCAUGGUUAUUUGGACAGUGAGGGAAGAAGAGUCAGAAGUCACAUGGUGCCAUCCAGAGCACAAGCUGGAUGAGGACACACUGUGAAGUCUUUACAAGCCUGCCUUUUCCACGAUCUGACACUCACAGCAGUAUUCGCUGUAUUUUUAAUCACACAGUGUAAGGACAAUCCUGAAAGAGGGCUUCCAGGAAUUCUUCAGGAAGUGGUGAGCACAGUGGAAUAAGUGUGUUCUAAGUGAGGGGGAGUAUUUUGAGAUGAAUAAUGACAUUAUGUAGUUCACUGUAAUUAAAAAAAUUGAACACACAUCAUAUUUUUUGAGGCUGAGGCAGGAGGGUCAUGAAUUUUAGACCAAACUGGGCUAACACAGUGAGACUGGAGCCAAACUGAGUUAUACUGGGUGAUGGACAGAGAAGGGGAGAUUUCUAAGAGAGGGAAGAGAGAGAGAGAGAGAGAGACAGAAAGAAACAAAGAAAGCAGAAAGAGAAGAAGGAGAAGAAGAAAGAAGGGAGAGAGAAAGGGAGAGGGAGAGAGGGAGAAAAACUUUGCUUUCUGUGUUGCCCGGUUUGGCCUGAAUAAUUAGGCUCAAGGAACUCUCCCACCUCAGCCUUCCCGCUGCUGGGGCCACAAGCACACACCACUGAAUCCAACUCUCAGUGCUGAGUCACAUAUUUUAUAACUCUAACAACGGAGGAUUUUUAUAGAGGAGAAAUUUUUUCUUUUACCCUCUUAGGCUCGGUAAUUAGCCCUGUAAGUUUAGCUGACACAGGACAGACAGACUAACGGGACCAAUGACAUAAGUUUUACCAGGGAUCAAACUCACAACCUUGCAUUUACCAGGUACAUGCUUGUGCUGCUAAUAAUAUUAAUUUUUUUCCCCUUGUGUGGUAGUUUUAUAAAAAUGAAAUGAAAACUUGAAGUGCUUAUUUUUGGGAGCCCUCAACCUUUUUUUGUGGUACUGAGGAUUGAACUCACGACCUCAUGCUUGCCAGGCACUUAUGCCACUGAGCUAAAUCCCCAGCCCUCCCUCAACCCUUUUUAACAAAAGGAAAUGGCUGAGAAGGAAAGGAAAUGGCUUGAGAAGGUGAUAAAGCAUGGCAGGGUGGGAAAUCUGGGAAGGGAAGGUGGGAGGCUGGGGACGGGAUGGGUUGGUUUGUGCAGACUCAUCUGGGAUAUGACAUCUCUGUUAGUGACAGUCAUUUUCUUCCUGGUCCACAUGGUUGCUACCCUCAAAGGAAAGUGUAUGCCCUGCUUUGAAGCAAAUAAGGAAAGGGCAGAAAACUGCCAUUAGUUCAAAAUAACACUUAUGCCAAAGUGGCACAUUCUGUGCCAGCAUGUCUUAUGUUUCAGGCUGGCUUUGAACUUACUGUGUAUCCCAAGCUGGUCUUGAACUAGCAGUGAUCCUCCUGCCUCAGCCUCCUGAGUGCUGGGAUGAUAGCUGUGCACUACCACAUUUGGCCAGAAAUAUUUGUUUUGAAAGAUCUUUUGGGUUCUCAUUUUAAAUCAACUUUUUUCCUUCCCUGCCCUGGAAACACAAUCUCUCUGAUUCACCUGAUUGCAGCCAUUUCAGUUAAUGAAACCGUUUCCUGCAGAAGGGAGCUUGGCCUGCACUGUGGGAUAAUUGCACCCUAUUUCUGCCUACCCUGAGCUGCAGUCCUCUCUCUCUCUCUCUCUCACAUUAAUUGCUCUGUGUUUUCCCUGAGUGAUGUGCUGACCUUAGAUUUUUCAGGCAGUUCUUUCUUGCUAGUAUCUAGCUGCAUUCUAGCAGAGGACAAUUAAUUCUUUCAGAUUUUGGAGCAUCGUAUAAGGAAACUCCACGGCAUUAGAUUUCAGGACUUGUCUAAGGUUGGUCUCAAUGAAAGAGUUCCCUUUGAUGUAAACUUUUACCCUUUGAGUCCACGAAGCUCUAAACGUCUUGGAUCCACACAGUGAGGACCUCACCUCAGAGCCAAUGGGCCACCAGGCCAAGGAGGUCCCUAAAUUCCAGGCCAGCUGCCAUAUGCAUUGCACCCAGGCCCCCACCGUGGGCCCUUUUUUUGCUCCCAAUUCAGACACCGUGCUGCUCUCUGCCUGCAGUGGACUGUGCAGCUGGCCUGUGGGGCGGGCUGAGAAAUCAAAAGCAGCCUUGGGAGCCUCCGCACACAGGCACAGGCAUCCGAGAGGCGCCAUCUGCGACAAAAUGGGGUUACUAAUAGAAAAUGGAAAAUGGAAAAAUACAAAAAUUGAAAUCAACUACAUUCUUACCAAAGUUAACCACAAUCUGUAUCUUGACAUAUAGCCUUCCAUGUGGUAUAUAACAGUUAAGUCUCAUUUUAUUUUUUAAGAAUUUUAAGUUUUUCAAUGGCAAAUAAAUACAUGAAAAAAUGUUCAGCUUUAUUGAUCAUUAGAGAAAUGCAAAUUAAAACAACACUGAGGUUCCAUUCCACUCCAGAAAGAAUGGCCAGGUUAAAGAAAACUACCGACAACAAAUGCUGGAGAAGCUGCAGAGAAAAAGGAACUCUCCUGCACUGUUGGCGGGAGUGUAGACUGGUGCAACCAUUGUGGAGAUAAGCCUGGAGGUUUCUCAAAAGGAUUGCAGGUCCCAUUUGACCCAACUGUUCCACUUCUGGGAAUAUUCCCAGAAGAACUGAAAACAUCAUACCACAGUGAUAUAUGUGCACCCAAGGUAUGGACAGCUAUUUUGAAGAGAACAAGAGACAUUAUGGUAGUCACUGUUGAUUUUCCUUUUGUUUGAUAUUGAAGACCUUUAAAGCUUUCGUUCUUUUGUUUUGAAUGGUUUUAUACUAUUUUUUGUCUUGUUUGAAUUCAUUGUGUGUGAAGAUAUGGACAACUAUUUCGAAGAAAACAAGAGACAUUAUGAUAACCAAUGUUGAUUUCCUGUUGUCUUGUUUUGAAAUCUUGAUUGCACUGCUUUGUUUUACUCUCCUUAAAAU